rnacentral:rRNA from 1 species
UACGUAGGGGGCGAGCGUUGUCCGGAUUUAUUGGGCGUAAAGAGCGUGUAGGCGGCCAGAUAAGUCCGCUGUGAAAACUCGAGGCUCAACUUCGAGCUGUCGGCGGAAACUAUCUGGCUAGAGUCCGGAAGAGGAGAGUGGAAUUCCUGGUGUAGCGGUGAAAUGCGCAGAUAUCAGGAAGAACACCCGUGGCGAAGGCGGCUCUCUGGGACGGUACUGACGCUGAGACGCGAAAGCGUGGGGAGCGAACAGG